rnacentral:tRNA from 1 species
GCAGUGGUGGUUCAGUGGUAGAAUUUUCUCCUUCUGUGUGGGAGACCUAUGUUUGAUUCCCGGCCAAUGCA